rnacentral:rRNA from 1 species
AUUGAACGCUGGCGGCAUGCCUAACACAUGCAAGUCGAGCGGAGCGGCGGACGGGUGAGUAAUGCCUAGGAAUCUGCAUGGUAGUGGGGGAUCACGUACGGAAACGGGCGCUAAUACAGCAUACUAUCAGAUGAGCCUAGGUCGGAUUAGCUAGUUGGUGGGGUAAAGGCCUACCAAGGCGACGCACAGUAACUGGUCUGAGAGGAUGAUCAGUCACACUGGAACUGAGACACGGUCCAGACUCCUACGGGAGGCAGCAGUGGGGAAUAUUGGGCAAUGGGCGAAAGCCUGACCCAGCAAUGCCGCGUGUGUGAAGAAGGUUUUCGGAUUGUAAAGCACUUUAAGUUGGGAGGCGUUACCAACAGAAUAAGCACCGGCUAACUUCGUGCCAGCAGCCGCGGUAAUUC